rnacentral:rRNA from 1 species
UACGGAGGGGGCUAGCGUUGUUCGGAAUACUGGGCGUAAAGCGUGCGCAGGCGGUGAUGUAAGACAGAUGUGAAAUCCCCGGGCUCAACCUGGGAACUGCAUUUGUGACUGCAUCGCUGGAGUACGGCAGAGGGGGAUGGAAUUCCGCGUGUAGCAGUGAAAUGCGUAGAUAUGCGGAGGAACACCGAUGGCGAAGGCAAUCCCCUGGGCCUGUACUGACGCUCAUGCACGAAAGCGUGGGGAGCAAACAGG